GUGCUCACUUCAGCAGCACAUACACUGAAACUGGAACAAUACAGAGAUUAGCAUGUCCCCUGCACAAGGAUGACAUGCAAAUUGUUGAAGCGUUCCAGACUUCA